rfam:Chlamydiae bacterium RIFCSPHIGHO2_01_FTLL_44_39 rifcsphigho2_01_scaffold_339, whole genome shotgun sequence.
GGCCCCAUCGUCUAGCCAGGCCUAGGACAUCAGAUUUUCAUUCUGCGAACAGGGGUUCGAAUCCCCUUGGGGUCA